GAUGAACGCUAGCUACAGGCUUAACACAUGCAAGUCGAGGGGCAGAAUGAUUGAAGCUUGCUUCAAUCGAUGGCGACCGGCGCACGGGUGAGUAACACGUAUCCAACCUGCCGAUAACUCGGGGAUAGCCUUUCGAAAGAAAGAUUAAUACCCGAUAGUAUAGUAUUUCCGCAUGGUUUCACUAUUAAAGAACUUCGGUUAUCGAUGGGGAUGCGUUCCAUUAGAUAGUUGGCGGGGUAACGGCCCACCAAGUCAACGAUGGAUAGGGGUUCUGAGAGGAAGGUCCCCCACAUUGGAACUGAGACACGGUCCAAACUCCUACGGGAGGCAGCAGUGAGGAAUAUUGGUCAAUGGACGAGAGUCUGAACCAGCCAAGUAGCGUGAAGGAUGACUGCCCUAUGGGUUGUAAACUUCUUUUAUACGGGAAUAAAGUGGAGUAUGCAUACUCCUUUGUAUGUACCGUAUGAAUAAGGAUCGGCUAACUCCGUG
rnacentral:rRNA from 1 species